rnacentral:rRNA from 1 species
CCUACGGGUGGCUGCAGUGGGGAAUAUUGGACAAUGGGCGAAAGCCUGAUCCAGCCAUGCCGCGUGUGUGAAGAAGGCCUUCGGGUUGUAAAGCACUUUCAGUGGGGAAGAAAGCCUUGGGGCUAAUACCCUCGAGGAAGGACAUCACCCACAGAAGAAGCACCGGCUAACUCCGUGCCAGCAGCCGCGGUAAUACGGAGGGUGCGAGCGUUAAUCGGAAUUACUGGGCGGAAAGCGCGCGUAGGCGUUCUGAUAAGCCGGUUGUGAAAGCCCCGGGCUCAACCUGGGAACGGCAUCCGGAACUGUCAGGCUAGAGUGCAGGAGAGGAAGGUAGAAUUCCCGGUGUAGCGGUGAAAGGCGUAGAGAUCGGGAGGAAUACCAGUGGCGAAGGCGGCCUUCUGGACUGACACUGACGCUGAGGUGCGAAAGCGUGGGUAGCAAACAGGAUUAGAUACCCCAGUAGUC